rnacentral:rRNA from 1 species
GAUGAACGCUGGCGGCGUGCCUAAUACAUGCAAGUCGAGCGAACAGACGAGGAGCUUGCUCCUCUGACGUUAGCGGCGGACGGGUGAGUAACACGUGGAUAACCUACCUAUAAGACUGGGAUAACUUCAGGAAACCGGAGCUAAUACCGGAUAAUAUAUUGAACCGCAUGGUUCAAUAGUGAAAGACGGUUUUGCUGUCACUUAUAGAUGGAUCCGCGCCGCAUUAGCUAGUUGGUAAGGUAACGGCUUACCAAGGCAACGAUGCGUAGCCGACCUGAGAGGGUGAUCGGCCCCACUGGAACUGAGACACGGUCCAGACUCCUACGGGAGGCAGCAGUAGGGAAUCUUCCGCAAUGGGCGAAAGCCUGACGGAGCAACGCCGCGUGAGUGAUGAAGGUCUUCGGAUCGUAAAACUCUGUUAUUAGGGAAGAACAAAUGUGUAAGUAACUAUGCACGUCUUGACGGUACCUAAUCAGAAAGCCACGGCUAACUACGUG